rnacentral:lncRNA from 1 species
UGAAAAGCUCUCAUGGAAAUGGUUUGUUUUGUGUGUGUGUGUGUGUGUAUGUGUGUGUGUGUGUGUGUGUACAUACAUACAUACAUACAUACAUACAUACAUACAUAAGGACUCCUGUUCCAACAAUUUGUAACUUUUAAAAACAUCUUCAGUCUCAGCCUGGUUUUCUUUGUUUGUUUUAAUGUUUGGCAUUAGAUCAGCCAUAUCCUCAAAUAUCUCAAAAAUAACAUUAAACCUCCUCUGUUCUAAUUUUUCUUAAUGUACAUCUAUGACUACAUUGCUUUGCAAAAUUAUUUUGUCUAUCUGAUGAUUACUGUCCAAUUACAAAAUAAUUGUAGCUUACCAUUCUGUUGACGUUACUGUCUGUAAUUAUUGUACCCACUGCUCAUUACAGUGGAAGGCACUACUAGUUUUACUAAUCUGAACUAACGUGGCCUUGGUAUACUGUGUUUCAAGAUGAAGAGUAACAUCUAAAUUAUGGACCUAUUUUCUGUCUGAAUAACAAUUGGAGCAGAGUUAUUAGUGCACGUAUGAAUGAAGAUAAUACCCCAAGCAUAUCAUUGCCAGAUUUAUAUUGGAUUUUUUAGGAAGAGAAAAAGGAGUUGAAUUCAUCAAAUUAUCAUAAUUUUAACUCAUUUAAAAGACUUAUUUUAAAUUAAAAGUAAUUAAGGAAAUUACCUGGGAAUAUAGUAGUAUAGUAUGUUCUACUUUUUAAUACACACUUAGUACUAUUCUAAAGAGUCCUUUAAACUUUAACCAGAACUCAAGUGAAAACAGUCCCCACUAGAGUUGAAAUCUCACUGAAUCUGAAGUAGAGUGUAAGGAGAAACUUCUGGGGAGAAACUAUCACAUAGAAAAGAUGACAGACAUCUGAAGACAGCAGGCCUCUUGUGUAUGUCAUGCAAUGGAAUUUCGUUUGCUGCUUAUAGAAACCAAUAUGCUAUUAAAGAUCCUUUUCACAGAGGGACACUUUCUCCCAGUGUGACUGGGGUGAGCAAGGUACUUAAAACCUGAACUUCUAAAAGGAAAUGAACCAACUUACUUUUUGCAGUAGAUCACUCAGGUAUUGAAGUCAUCUGGGCAUGGAGCUGCUCCGUGCAUUUAUGUCCCUCAUCAGAGAGGAAAGAAAUAACAGAGCUAAAUAUGCCUUAUGCCCUAGAUAUAUAGAAGGUUUACCAACCAGGAAAGGAAAAUAACAAGAAAAGGAAAGGGCCUUCUCUCUUUUCCUUCCUUCCUUUUUUUUUUUUUUUAAACCCUGGCUAUGCUAUUAAAUGUCACUUUGUUGUUAUUUGU